UCCUGGGACAUCCUGGGAAAUCCUGGGAGUGCUGGGCAGGCCCAGGUUUUCCUGGAGGAGCUGGAAUUUUGCCUGGAGGAGGACGAGGGCCCCGAGGAUUCCCGGCUGCUCCUGCGCCACUCCCGGCUCCUGCUGCGCAGCCAGCUCUGCUGCCUCCAGAAAAAGGCGGAUCAGGGCGUGCCCCUGCUGCUGCAGGCCCUGAGGGAGCCCCAGGCCCCCAGGCCCACCCGGAGCUGGUUCCUGGCCCAGGCCCAGGCCCUGCAGGUUCUGGCCUCGUUCCUGGAGCUGCCCCCGGCGCACCUGGGGGCGCCAACGCGGGAGCUGAUCCGGCGGCAGGGUGGGGAAAAAGGGGAAAUUGGGGUGGGGAAAAAGGGGAAAUUGGGGUGGGG
rnacentral:lncRNA from 1 species